AUUGAACGCUGGCGGCAGGCCUAACACAUGCAAGUCGAGCGGAUGAAGGGAGCUUGCUCCUGGAUUCAGCGGCGGACGGGUGAGUAAUGCCUAGGAAUCUGCCUGGUAGUGGGGGAUAACGUCCGGAAACGGGCGCUAAUACCGCAUACGUCCUGAGGGAGAAAGUGGGGGAUCUUCGGACCUCACGCUAUCAGAUGAGCCUAGGUCGGGUUAGCUAGUUGGUGGGGUAAAGGCCUACCAAGGCGACGAGCCGUAACUGGUCUGAGAGGAUGAUCAGACACGCGGGAACUGGAACACGGCCCAGACCCCACCGGGAGGCGGCGGGGGGGAAAAUGGGACAGGGGGCGAAGGCCGGACCCGGCGAGGCCGCGGGUGGAAAGAAGGUCUUGGGUUUGUAAAGCACUUUAAUUUGGGAGGAAGGGAAGAAAGUUAAUCCCUUGGGUUUUGGCGGUAACCAAAAAAAAAAGCCCCGGCUAAUUUGUG
rnacentral:rRNA from 1 species